UCUCAAGACUUACUGUGCGCAGUUUCUUUCUUUCCUCUCUUCCACACACUCUGCUCACUCUCAUGGCCAUCACUCAAGGUAAAUAAAUCCCGACCAACGGCCAUCACUCACUCCAACGACCUUUGUCCCCUCUCGUGCUAUGCUUAAAAUCUUCAACAAUGGUGUAGUGCUCGAAAUAUUACGUCAAAUGCUCUCGUUCUCACAAUUGGCCGAAAACCCCAAAAGUUUCAAAGCCGACGCUGACCACCGUAAACCGGUGGCCAUUUUCAUUCUAAUUUCCACCUAGCACGACCGAAAGAUUAGCUCCAACAGUGGCGAUAGCUUGAGAUAUUGGCGUGAUUGGCUGCUGCUCACACAUGGAUGGGAACAACUCUUGUGCUUAAAUUGAUUUACUUGUAAUUAUUUUGGGGCUGUUGGAUUUUUAUUGGGCUUGCAUUGGGCUCCGAGAUUGCUUUUGUUGUAGUGGGCUUGAGCUACAAAAUAUGUAAUU